rnacentral:lncRNA from 1 species
CGGCAGCUGACGGGCGGGCCCUUCCGGAGGCGCCGCGCCUGGACCGUGGCCGCAGGUUGGGCAGCGCCAGACGCAGAGCCCUGUGCCGCUUGCGUCCCCGGGCUUCCUGCCCGACAAGGACGGGGGGCCGGACAGAGAGCCGUGUCGGCCGAGACCCGAAUCCGGGAUCAGGGGUUCCAGUCUCGAUCAUCAGUGAAGUCCUUCCACAUCCAUGGGGCGUCCACCAACUAGGAGCUUAAUCAACACAACGCUGUGGCCUCUCCAGCUCAGGGACGUGCCUUUCCCGUGUCUUCUUCUCACACACAAACGUAGCCUGCAAGGAAGGUCAGGUUCAAUGCACGGAAUCUACCCUGCUGCCCGCUAGGAGGUCAUAUGUGUAUCACAGACCCGCAGAGAAUGCUCUCCACAGUACAUGAAGCGCGGUACAAAUGGAAUGAGUGUAACGGGCAUUCUCUGUUUGAAAAAAGUUAUCCCAAU